UACUGCAGAGGCUAAUUCAUAUAUCAUUCUAUGGCUAAUUCAUAUAUCAUUCUAUGGCUCUCUUCACAGAGGAAACUGCAGUUUAUAUCAGCAAGUUAUGUGUUUCCUAACAUGCUGCCCAUGUCAUUCUAGCCCCAGUGCCCAUUCAGCAUCAGCCACCAUCAUAAGGUAAGUUUGUUGAAGGCAAGAAACUUAUCAGGCCAACCUCUGCACCAUGGUUUUUAGCUCACAGUGACCUAAAUUGGAUACAGUCUAGUGAUUCCAUUCCAUUCUCCUUACCCAGCCAACAUACCAAGACUAAUAUAAAAAGACACUUAUUGAAGUAUCAGUAAGGAGGACUUCUGGGAAGAUGGCAGCAUGGGGGUGCCUUCAAGUCUUCCGGACAAACAUGCCUGCCCUCCUGCAGACCCAGGAUUCUAUUCUGCCUCACACAUCCCCAACACAACUGCCAGCUGAGUUCUAAUUGCAGAAUCUUCAUUACCAGGGACGAUUGAAACUAUAAAAAGAAACCAGCUGAAUUUUUCACAUCCUGCUGGGUGAGCACAAGGCCUGGCUUUCCUGUUCCUGCCCUC
rnacentral:lncRNA from 1 species